rnacentral:rRNA from 1 species
AUUGAACGCUGGCGGCAGGCCUAACACAUGCAAGUCGAACGAGUGGCGGACGGGUGAGUAAUAUCUGGGAAACUGCCUGAUGGAGGGGGAUAACUACUGGAAACGGUAGCUAUUACCGAAUACCAUCGGCUGUGGCCAGAUGGGAUUAGCUAGUAGGUGGGGUAAAGGCUCACCUAGGCGACGAUCCCUCGCUGGUCUGAGAGGAUGACCAGCAACACGGGAACUGAGACACGGUCCAGACUCCGACGGGAGGAAGCAGUGGGGAAUAUUGCACAAUGGGCGCAAGCCUGAUGCAGCCAUGCCGCGUGUAUGAAGAAGGCCUUCGGGUGUUAAAGUACGUUCAGCGGGGAGGCGUUACCCGCAGAAGAAGCACCGGCUAACUCCGUGCCAGCCGCCGCGGUAAUAC